GUACUUGGGAUUCAUUUGAUUCUUCUUCUUGUUUACAAGCGGGAGUUGCUCGGAUAGUAAAGACCCUUCACUUCCAACCCGGAGGUUGUGAGUUCGAGUCAUCAAGGGAGCAAAAAGCGUGGGAGCUCCUACAGAGGGGUUAAAAAAAGAUUCUUCUUGUUAAGCUGUCAAAGAUUGCUUUUUAAUGAUCGUUUGUGUUGUUGCACUUGGGAUUCAUUUGAUCCUUCUUCUUGUUGACAAGAGGGAGUUGCUCG
rnacentral:lncRNA from 1 species